UACGUAGGUGGCAAGCGUUAUCCGGAAUUACUGGGUGUAAAGGGAGCGUAGACGGUAAUGUAAGUCUGGAGUGAAAGGCGGGGGCCCAACCCCCGGACUGCUCUGGAAACUAUGUUACUAGAGUGCAGGAGAGGUAAGCGGAAUUCCUAGUGUAGCGGUGGAAUGCGUAGAUAUUAGGAGGAACACCAGUGGCGAAGGCGGCUUACUGGACUGUAACUGACGUUGAGGCUCGAAAGCGUGGGGAGCAAACAGG
rnacentral:rRNA from 1 species